rnacentral:rRNA from 1 species
GACAGAGGAGGCGAGCGUUAUCCGGAGUCAUUGGGCGUAAAGGGUACGUAGGCGGCUAGUCAAGUCUGAGGUUAAAGACCACAGCUCAACUGUGGGAAGGCCUUGGAAACUGACUGGCUAGAGUGGGGCAGGGGUUGCGGGAAUUCCCGGUGUAGCGGUGAAAUGCGUAGAUAUCGGGAAGAACACCUGAGGCGAAAGCGCGCAACUGGGCCCUAACUGACACUGAGUGACGAAAGCUAGGGGAGCGAAUGGG